AGAGUUUGAUCAUGGCUCAGAUUGAACGCUGGCGGCGUGCUUAACACAUGCAAGUCGAGCGAGAAAGUUCUCUUCGGAGAAUGAGUAGAGCGGCGCACGGGUGAGUAACGCGUGGGUAAUCUGCCCUGAAGAUCGGGAUAACAGUUGGAAACGACUGCUAAUACCGGAUAUCCUGCAUAUUUAACUUUAUGUGGAAAAGAUGGCCUCUGUUUCAAGCUAUUGCUUCAGGAUGAGCCCGCGUCUCAUUAGAUAGUUGGUGGGGUAAUGGCCUACCAAGUCAACGAUGAGUAGCUGGUCUGAGAGGAUGAUCAGCCACACUGGGACUGAAACACGGCCCAGACUCCUACGGGAGGCAGCAGUGGGGAAUAUUGCGCAAUGGGGGAAACCCUGACGCAGCGACGCCGCGUGCGGGAAGAAGGCUUUCGGGUCGUAAACCGCUGUCAGGAGGGAAGAAACUGUUUAGUCAUAAUACGGCUAUUCACUGACGGUACCUCCAGAGGAAGCACCGGCUAACUCCGUGCCAGCAGCCGCGGUAAUACGGAGGGUGCGAGCGUUAAUCGGAAUCACU
rnacentral:rRNA from 1 species